CUUUUUUUUUUUUUUGUAAAUCUUUCUUUUAUUAUGGCAUAUGCGUUAUGGGGUACAGAAUAGAAAAAGGAGAUAUUGUGGGGUAACACACGUUAAUGAUAGCAAGAUGGUUAGUAAUACACUCCUAAGAAGGACUGCCAUAUUUUUUGUUUUUAAAACUACAGUAAACAUAGUGAUAUAAGCUUGGUUAAUUGAAAUAAAAUAAAAUAAAAUAAAUGAGUGAUGCUUAACAGUUAGCUGAGCAGGUCAAACAAUAUCCUGACGACAUAGCGCAUCCUUUUUCUGUAUUAAGCAAUUAGUCUAGUCUUUGGUUUGCUUAUCCAUUCUAGGGCACGUGAAACGGAGGCAGCGUCAUGUUUGUUCAAAGGAGCUAUACAUCGCAUAACUGGUACAGAGCACUAAAGUGUCCUGCCCUUUUGAUAAACUAGCAACCAGUGCAAGAUUUGUCUAACAUGUCAGGUGGCAUAUAUGGGAGUCGAUAUCGAUUGUAUAGAGCUAGGUCCUAGACAUGCUGCUCUAAACGAC